rnacentral:lncRNA from 1 species
UAUGGGAUAAGGCAAUUGCCAACAAAGCUUAAUUUAUUUGUUCAUUCUUUAUUUCAUGCAUUUAUUUUCUCAAGAAGCAUUUGUCAAGUGUCUCCUACAUGCCAGAUACUUUGUCAGUUGCUGGAGAUAUAAAGCCAAAAGACACAAGGUCGCAGGGUCCAUGAUAGGCAGAUGGGGAGCACCAGAACAGACUCGGUGUCAAUCAGGGAAAGCUGUCACCAGCAGGUGACAUGAGAUAAGUUUUCAAGAAAGAUAAGCAUUGCAGAGAGGAGUUGGGUAGGAGGAAGUUGCUGCCAAGACCUGCAUCGUUUGCCCCUGAGUCACCAAGGAUCACAAUGCUCAUGGCUGAUAAUUAUGAAAUUAAAAGCAGCAGGGGAUUGGGGAUUUUAGGAAAAGGAGGUAUCCUCAGUGGUGGUACAGGAGCAGAUGCUGCUUAGAGAAGAGAAAGCAAACAGAGGCAAAGCCCUCCUGGGCCCAGUGCCUGCAGUGUGGUGGAAGACUGAGAUCUGUUAAAGAGGGGGAAAAGAAAACUUUAAAAGCUGGAGGCAAGACUCAGAGUGAAGGCUUAAUUGAGGAAGCAGGCAUUUUGGGUUCACACAAAUAAGCAAAUAGAAUCCCCUUGGCCCCUCCUGGUCAUCUGUGAGUUUUGACAGGGUUCAUGCAAAGACAAUGAUGAGUACAUCAUAACACCGCAUGGCCAACAGUAAUUAUAAGACAACAUCAAUUAUACAGCUCAGCCUAAUUUUGAGAUAUUAAUGAAUGAAAAACUGUGCAUCUUGAAAUUGAUGAAUGGUAGUACUUUAUGGAAUUGUUCUUAGAAUGAAAGCAUGACUUUCUUGAAAAGCCUCUAGGGUAGUACCUUGCAUAUGGUGGAAACUAGAAUUACGGUUUUUCUUUUCUUUUUCUUUUCUCCCAGCCUGUAAAUGUUAUCUCUGAUAGUAAGUCUCCUGACUACAAUGAGUAGCUGAUGGAUGGGAAGGGGGGUUCCAAUACACAGAAUGAGCAUCUAAUGGGGAAUGGGAAAAAACUAGAGGUCAUAUGAAGCCCUGUGUUUCUCAGUAUACAUCUACAGUGACCACAUAACUUAUUAUCCAAACCAGGACAAUUUUGAAAGUAAAAGAAGUUGCUUUUAAUAAUUUAACUGGAACCAGGGACAUAAACUGGGGCCAACCCAGAUGAGCCAUAUAUAAAAACCUACAAAAGUCCAUCUUCCAUCUGGCAAGUACAACUGAAAUCAGAUGCAAAUUUCUCUAUGCUUAGACUUGGAGUGUCUUCGUCCAAAACCUGGAAGGCCAUGAGACAAAUGAUGGGCACGCAGGUACUCUUGGCUCCCAUCCCAAGAAGGCUUAACAAACACUAUAUUCCAAAAUUGGUUAAAGUUCGAUGCCACCGUGUUGUGGGAGAUGUUCCCCUUCCUCAGCUGUUAUUUAUGGUGCAGAGAAAAGGAACCACAUUGAUGAUGGACAGUUCUGGAGGCUGUAAAGUCCAAAGGCAUGCACCAACAUCUACUCAGCAUCCAAUGAAGGUCUUCUUGCUACAUUGUCCCCCAGCACAAGGUGGAAGGGCAAGAGAGCAUGCAGGCACAUGCUUGAUAACCUGUGAUAUUUGGACAAAUUCUCCUUUCUGCUUCCUUCUUUGAGGCUUCUCAACGGCAUCUUCUCCUUGAUUGAGACCAAAGACAGAAUAAUA